rnacentral:tRNA from 1 species
GGGGCUAUAGCUCAGUGGUAGAGUAUUGGCCUAGCAUGUGUCAAGCCCUGGGUUCAAUCUCCAGUACUGCCA